rnacentral:tRNA from 1 species
GGGGCGGUAGCUCAGCUGGGAGAGCACCUGGUUUGCAACCAGGGGGUCACGGGUUCGAAUCCCGUCCGCUCCAUCA